GACGAGCCACACGAACGUUAUUCGGAAUUACUGGGCUUAAAGGGUGCGUAGGCUGCGCGGAAAGUUGGGUGUGAAAUCCCUCGGCUCAACCGAGGAACUGCGCCCAAAACUACCGUGCUCGAGGAAGAUAGAGGUAAGCGGAACUUACGGUGGAGCGGUGAAAUGCGUUGAUAUCGUAAGGAACACCUGUGGCGAAAGCGGGCUUACUGGGUCUUUUUCUGACGCUGAUGCACGAAAGCUAGGGGAGCAAACGGG
rnacentral:rRNA from 1 species